CUUGCCAUAUGUCGAUGUGCCCCUAGGCAAGGCACUUAACCUCAAGUUGCCUACCAAUCGGUAUUCCAUCCUCUUCGAGGUCUCCCAACGCCUCCUUCAAGGUCUCAGCAGCUCCUCAGGUAAUUGCCCUGAUCAGAAACACCUGUGUGGCUGCAGCUGCCUGUCGCACCCUGGUGGACAGAAUGAGACACAACACAACAAACCUGAACUCGACAACAAGGCCUGACACAUGAAAUUCAUGUGAUUCCGCUCAUUGUGUCACAUCCCUACUACAUAUGUCCAGAUAUUAAAGAAUGUGGAGCAUCUUUUACCAUGUAAACUGCAUACCAAAAGGUACAUUUAGUCUUUGUAGUUUGUUUUAUUUCUGCUUGUAUUGUUUUUCUUUCUAUUUUACUUUUAUUUGUCUCGGUUUAAUCAAAAAAUACUGUACAGCACUUUUACGUCACAAUUAAUUUAUUAAAUAUGCUUAAUAAAUAAAAUGGAUUUGAAUUUAA